CAAAAUUCAAUUCUAUUUCCAUACAUGGUCAAAGAACAAUUGGAAACAAAAAACUUUUAAAAGACCACUUAUAUUUGCAUAAAGAAUAUGAAAUACUUAGUGAUUAACCUGAAAAAGAGAUGUAUAACAGCUGUAUUCUGAAAAUUACAAAAUAUUGCUGAGAAAGAUUUAAAAAGAUCUAAAUAAAGGAAGAGACACACCUUGUUCAUGGGUUGGAAGACUCAAUAUUGUUAAGAUGCCAACGGUCCCCAAAUUGAUUUAUAUAUUAAAUGCAAUCUCAACCAAAAUCCCAAUAGGCUUUUUCUGUAAACAUUGACAAGUUCAUUAUAAAAUUCAUAUGGAAAUACAAAGUACCUAGAAAGACAAACAACUCUGUGAAAGGAGAACAAAGUUGAAGAACUUCCACUACUUGAAUUCAAGACAUUGUAAAACUACAGUAAUCUAGACAAUAUGGAACUGGUAUCAAGACAGACAAACAGGGGCUUCCCUGGUGGCACAGUGGUUAAGAAUCCGCCUGCCAAUGCAGGGGACACGGGUUCGAGCCCUGGUCCGGGAAGAUCCCACAUGCCACAGAGCAAUGCAGCCCGUGCGCCACAACUACUGAGCCUGCGCUCUAGAGCCUGUGAGCCACAAGUACUUAGCCCGUGUGCCUAGAGCCUGUGCUCUGCAACAAGAGAAGCCACCACAGUGAGAAGACCGCGCACCGCAACAAAGAGUAGCCUCCGCUCGCAACUAUAGAAAAGCCCGUGCGCAGCAACAAAGACCGAAUGCAGCCAAAAAUAUAAUAAAUAAAUAAAUUUAUUUUAAAAAA